GACGAACGCUGGCGGCGUGCUUAACACAUGCAAGUCGAACGAAGUGGCGAACGGGUGAGUAACGCGUAAUCAACCUGCCCUUCAGAGGGGGACAACAGUUGGAAACGACUGCUAAUACCGCAUACUGAAGGAGGGGCUUGCGUCUGAUUAGAUAGUUGGCGGGGUAACGGCCCACCAAGGCGAUGAUCAGUAGCCGGGCUGGGAGGGUGAACGGCCACAUUGGGACUGCGACACGUGCCAGAAUCCUACGGGAUGCAACAGUGGGGAAGCUUCCGCAAUGGACGACAGUCUGACGGAGCAACGCCGCGUGAGUGAGGACGGCCUUCGGGUUGUAAAGCUCUGUUAAUCGGGACGCGGUACCGGAAUAGAAAGCCACGGCUAACUACGUGCCAGCAGCCGCGGUAAUUC
rnacentral:rRNA from 1 species